GAUGAACGCUGGCGGCGUGCUUAACACAUGCAAGUCGAACGAAACACCUUAUUUGAUUUUCUUCGGAACUGAAGAUUUGGUGAUUGAGUGGCGGACGGGUGAGUAACGCGUGGGUAACCUGCCCUGUACAGGGUGAUAACAGUCAGAAAUGACUGCUAAUACCGCAUAAGACCACAGCACCGCAUGGUGCAGGGGUAAAAACUCCGGUGGUACAGGAUGGACCCGCGUCUGAUUAGCUGGGUGGUGAGGUAACGGCUCACCAAGGCGACGAUCAGUAGCCGGCUGGAGAGAGUGAACGGGCACAUUGGGACUGAGACACGGCCCAAACUCCUACGGGAGGAAGCAGUGGGGAAUAUUGCACAAUGGGGGAAAACCUGAUGCAGCGACGACGCGUGAGUGAAGAAGUAUUUCGGUAUGUAAAGCUCUAUCAGCAGGGAAGAAAAUGACGGUACCUGACUAAGAAGCCCCGGCUAACUACGUG
rnacentral:rRNA from 1 species